ACGGGUGAGCAACGCGUGAGAAUCUGCCCUUCAGUGAAGAAUACCGCCGAGAAAUCGGUGUUAAUGCUGCAUACGUCCCUUCGGGGAGAAAAGUGGCCUCUUUGCUACUGCUGAAGGAUGAGCUUGCGUACUAUUAGCUAGUUGGUGGGGUAAAGGCCUACCAAGGCGAUGAUGGUUAACCGGCCUUAGAGGGUGUUCGGUCACACUGGAACUGAGAUACGGUCCAGACUCCUACGGGAGGCAGCAGUGAGGAAUAUUGCGCAAUGGGCGAAAGCCUGACGCAGCGACGCCGCGUGGAGGAUGAAGGUCUUCGGAUUGUAAACUUCUGUUAAGUGGGAAGAAAAAGUUGUUUUUAAUAGAAGCAAUUUAUGACGGUACCAUUAGAGAAAGCACCGGCUAAACUCGUGCCAGCAGCCGCGGUAAUACGAGUGGUGCAAGCGUUAUUCGGAAUCAUUGGGCGUACAGGGCGUGUAGGUGGCAUGUUAAGUCUGCUGUUAAAUCCUCUGGCCUAACUGGAGAUAGGCAGUGGAAACUGGCGUGCUUGAGGGUGGAAGAGAGAAGUGGAAUUCUCGGU
rnacentral:rRNA from 1 species